CACGUAGGGGGCAAGCGUUGUCCGGAUUUAUUGGGCGUAAAGAGCUCGUAGGCGGCUCAGUAAGUCGGGUGUGAAACCUCCAGGCUCAACCUGGAGACGCCACCCGAUACUGCUGUGGCUUGAGUCCGGUAGGGGAGCGUGGAAUUCCUGGUGUAGCGAUGAAAUGCGUAGAUAUCGGGAGGAAUACCGAUGGCGAAGGCAGCCCCCUGGGAUAACACUGACGCUCAUGCACGAAAGCGUGGGGAGCAAACAGG
rnacentral:rRNA from 1 species